UAUUAGAAGUAUCAUUUAACAAUUUGGAAUUUUAUAUCUAAUAUAAGUCGAAGUAACCUCAAUAUAUUUUUAAUGAUCGCAUACUUUUUAUUAUUCAUAUUUAUGAUAAAUAGUUUGAAUUUUAACAAAUAGAUAAUUAAUCAACAAGAUGGUUUUGAACUUAUUUAUUAAUUUUGUUAUUAUUAUAGUCACAGUCGUUUCAUGUCAAGCUGCUUUUAAUUCUAAUAAACAAAGUUCCGACGAUCCAUCGGAAAUAACAAAAAUUCGGUCUUGGAAAUUCGUUCAUAAUGAAAUCGUAAUUCUGCCAACAGGUAAAAGAAUAAGUUUGGAAGAAUUGAUAAAAAGCAUCAAUGAACAAGAUUAUAAAAUAAAUGGUGAUGAUGAAAAUGUGUACAAUUAUAAAUACAUUAAAGACAAUUUUUUUCGUACGGCCUUAGCUACAAGAUUAUUAAAGUAUAUUUGCUUAAUCUCUGAGUAUGCAUUUAGAUUAAAUAUGUUAAAAGGAUCAAAUUUCGAUGAUUUUAAAUGCACACUACGUACAACAUUAAAUCGAGCAAAAAAAUAUAUUGAAUAUUUUCGUGAGGAAUAUUUUUGGGAGAAUGAGACAGACCUUGAAAAAAAGAUCAAUAAUCUGGCAAACGUAAGUAAACGAAAUGAUAUUAUUGUACACAGUUUGAAUUAUAUUUAUGAUAUUUUAAGGAAAGAACUUAAAUAUAAAAAUUCUUUUUUAUAUUUAUGGCCAAAAAAUAUGCAUAUUAACAUUAAAAAAGAUUUAUACAAUACAUUGAAGAAUAAAAAAGUUAAUAUAUAUGAUGUUUUUGAUUUAACAAUUAAUGACCAGUGGAAGCUAUACGAGAAAAUGCAACGUAUAAGAAAAUUAAUGUAUGACGAAUGUUAUGAUUAAUUUAAUUGUUUGCUUUUAAUUUAUGAAAACGUUAAUAGAAGUGGAACGAUUGACGCAAAGUACUGUCUAACUUUAGAAGCAUUGAUUUUUUUUUUAAAUUCUCUAUUUAAAAAUUAAAUUAUUAAUGAAUAAAUAAAUAUUAAAUUAAUAAAAGAAAUACUGUAUUUUAAUAAAU